rnacentral:tRNA from 1 species
GCGGGAGUAGCUCAGCUGGUAGAGCGUCAGCCUUCCAAGCUGAGGGUCGCGAGUUCGAAUCUCGUCUCCCGCU